rnacentral:ncRNA from 1 species
UUUUUGGAGAGUUUGAUCCUGGCUCAGGACGAACGCUGGCGGCGUGCCUAAUACAUGCAAGUCGAGCGGACCUCUUCGGAGGUCAGCGGCGGACGGGUGAGUAACACGUGGGCAACCUGCCUGUAAGACUGGGAUAACUCCG